rnacentral:rRNA from 1 species
GGGCCCGCACAAGCGGUGGAGCAUGUGGUUUAAUUCGAAGCUACGCGAAGAACCUUACCAGGGCUUGACAUCCCCUGACCGGCGUGGAAACACGUCUUCUUUUCGGAGCAGGGAGACAGGUGGUGCAUGGUUGUCGUCAGCUCGUGUCGUGAGAUGUUGGGUUAAGUCCCGCAACGAGCGCAACCCCUACUCUGUGUUGCCAGCACGUAACGGUGGGGACUCACAGAGGACUGCCGGUGACAAACCGGAGGAAGGUGGGGAUGACGUCAAAUCAUCAUGCCCCUUAUGUUCUGGGCUACACACGUGCUACAAUGGCCGGCACAGACGGAAGCGAACCUGUGAGGGGGAGCAGAUCCGAGAAAACCGGUCUCAGUUCGGAUUGCAGGCUGCAACUCGCCUGCAUGAAGUCGGAAUCGCUAGUAAUCGCAGGUCAGCAUACUGCGGUGAAUACGUUCCCGGGCCUU